rnacentral:rRNA from 1 species
CCAGCACCCCGAGUGGUCGGGACGAUUAUUGGGCCUAAAGCAUCCGUAGCCGGUUUUACAAGUCCUCCGUUAAAUCCAACUGCUUAACAGAUGGGCCGCGGAGGAUACUAUAAGACUAGGUGGCAGGAGAGGCAAGCGGUACUCAGUGGGUAGGGGUAAAAUCCGUUGAUCCAUUGAAGACCACCAGUGGCGAAGGCGGCUUGCCAGAAUGCGCUCGACGGUGAGGGAUGAAAGCUGGGGGAGCAAACCGGAUUAGAUACCCGGGUAGUCCCAGCUGUAAACGAUGCAGACUCGGUGAUGGACUAGCUUCAUGCUAGUCCAGUGCCGCAGGGAAGCCGUUAAGUCUGCCGCCUGGGUAGUACGGUCGCAAGACUG